AGUGGUAUGGAUAAAGAAGGUCAAAAUGGUCUCUGAUGAAAAGAAACUUUUAAAAUGCUUGGAAAAGUUAAUGAAUUAGAUUUCCCUGCACUUGAAGAUAUUAGGAUUGGGAGAUCAAGACUCCCAUCAGCCAAAUCAAGAAUAUUCACAGUUGACAGGAAAACUCAAAGUUUCUUUUUCCCCACCAGAGAAAUGUCUCCCACCACCAUAGCUAAACAGUGGGCAGCCUUUUGAGUCUAGAAAGGUCAGUAACAGGAUUUUAUUUUGAUACACGAUAUGACCUAAUUAUUUCACUUGUUGCAGAAAUCCGAAGUGGGUAGAGCGUGCCUUUUUUUUUCCUUUGAGAUUUUGAAGAAGAAAACUCUAGAGCAGAAAAGAGGAGGAAGCCUGCAGCAGAGACGGGGGUCAUGUGUGGGGAAUGAUCACUUCAGCCAUUGUGAAGUCAGGUAGGCUGAGCGAUGUGCAGCCAGGCACAGGUAAGCCCCUGAAUUAUUUUCUGAUCUAUUUGUAUGUUCAUAUGCUCACCUGUUCCUCCUUGGACCCAUGACCUUCAUUAAAGAGAAGGCAGAUUUGUCCAAACGCAAGGAAUAGAAAACUCAGAAGUCCACUGGACUAUUCAGGAAUUAGAUCAUAACUGUGACCUUACUAUCUAACCAGCUGACUUAACUGGUAUGUAGCUAUAGGUUGUUUUUAACAGAUGUACUGAGGUAUAAUUGACUACAAUAAGUUGUGCAUAUUUAAAGUGUAUAAUUUGAUAGGUUUUGACACAAACACACAUAUAUAUGCAUAUGAAUAAGCAUAUACAUAUAUAUACUUCCUGAAUCAUCACCCCAAUCAAGUUAAUGAAUAUAUCCAUCAUUUUCAGUUUGCAUAUUGUUUUGAGAUGUUAUAAUCAAUUACUUUCCAUUGCUAUUAUUUUCAUAAUAAUAACUGUUAUUAUUAUUAUUAGGGAGUGAUGAUUAGGCAGAUGAAAUGACUAUUAACUUUCUUUCCCAGCAAAACUUCAUUUCAUUCCCACCUGCUUAUGAAUGGAAAAGAUCGUAUGGACUUGGGCAUCAGGAUGUACGCAUGAGAAACAUCUUCCCUAAGUUCACUUGUCCUCUUGGGCCAAGGAUACUGAUGUUCCACAUGUCUAUGGAGCUUGUCUUUUACCCUCAGAGCCAGAGACCAUUUUUAAGGAUGACGCAUAUUUGGCUAUAUAGGUCAAGGCCCCAUCAGUUUCCAGCACUGAAGCUUUGCCUAGGCAAUAUGGAUAUGUUGGACAAAUGGACAAUGACUUGCCUAGAAAUCAACAGAACUUGAAGGUGGGAUAGAUAUGAAGGUUGCAGAGGAACGAGUGAUUGAGAAUGACUGUGAAAGCCAUUCUAAUUUACCAAACAUUUGUUUUAUGAUUUCUUGAUACUAUAGUUUCAGAGGCUUUGUCUAAAGCCAAGAUAUUUAAUGGAUCUUUAAGUUACACAGUUGUUUUUACUAGGAC
rnacentral:lncRNA from 1 species